GUGCGAGAAUUGCAGCGACUUCUGCUUUUAUGGUGUCUUUCCUUUGGUUCUGCCUCUGCAUUUCUAGUUGGUCCUGAGUCUCCAUGCUUGCCUCCUUUCUGCUCUUUGCUCUCAGCCUCAUGAGGAUUGUGAAAGAGGACCUGGUGGUCACUGUGUGCUUCUGAUACUACAGAGCUUAUAACUGGCAUGUUGGCGACAGACUCUUUUUCUGCUUCACCAAAAGUAUCAUCAGAGUCCAGAGGUUGAUCUUCACUGUGGUCACUUUCCUCAUGAGUUGGAGUCAAUAUAAAGGUAUCAGCCUCCUCCUUCAGUUCAAGCUGACUAGUGCAGAGUUCCUCCUGUUCCUCUUUAAUCUGUGCGGGCUCUGGGUCCUCUUGGUCCAGAGUGGGGAUCCUCUCCUGAAUACAGAGCUGCUGGUCAGUGAGAGCCUCCUCCUCCUCCUUACACACAUGUUGCUGUGGGAGC